rnacentral:lncRNA from 1 species
CUGCUCCGAGUGUUAUUUUCAAGUCCCUGUUACAGAGAUCAUGUCAGAAGACUAAGGCACCACCAGCAGCACCGGACUGGGUAAGCAAAGCUUCCCCUUGGCAGCCAGCUCCAUGGAGGAGACAGAGAGAAGGUUCUAGAAUCAUCCUUAGAAAGACAUGGGAGGGCAGGGGCAAGAACGGCAGCCUCUCCCUAGCUCACAUCUCACCAGGGUUGGCUAAGCAGUCCUCCCCUUGCCCCACGAGUGGCAGGACAGCUCCCAACACUUCUCUAGGCUUAAAGUACAUGUGGAAGGGCGAGCCUCCCAGGAUUCUCAAACAGAAGCAGCCUGCCAGGCUGAGCCAUCCAGAAGGUUGAAGAAAAAUGCCGUCGUGGUCCCCUGCCUGCUUACUCAGCGUGUCAAGCAGGAGUUCUCAGCUCCAGUGUGCCAUGGAGGGCCUUGGGAAGAGGUCACAUACCAUUCCCAUCCCCAGGUCAGGCUAGACUCCAGGCCAGGUUCCUCCACUGCCCUUGUGUUGACUACAGGAGAAACUUGAGCCAACACCUGACCUUGGGCUAGCUCCCUCCUCACAUCUGCUUUGGAGAUUCCAGUCUCCUCCUGCCCAGGCCUGUCUCUUAGCAGGGCCAGCAGGAUGGGCUGGGGAAUUCCUGCACCCCAACAGCUGCGUCCCCAGCUCAGUACCUGGACAACAUGAAUCCACCCCCAUCGUCAAUAAGCGUCUUUCAGAGCUGCCAGCUCCCUCUGGGGAAAGCCCUUUCCACUCGUUCUUUGAGGCCCAAAGCUGAUUCUGGUCUAAUUAUAACUGUAUUCCCAGCAGGUGUGACACAAAGCAGGUGCAUAAUAAAGAUUCCUGGAUGGAUGACUCAAUUUCUGACUCCUGGAAUUCUAUAGGCCAUUUUUUUUUUUUUGAGACGGAGUCCCGCUCUUUAGCCCAGG